rnacentral:rRNA from 1 species
GACGAACGCUGGCGGCGUGCUUAACACAUGCAAGUCGAACGGAAAGGCCCUGCUUUUGUGGGGUGCUCGAGUGGCGAACGGGUGAGUAACACGUGAGUAACCUGCCCUUGACUUUGGGAUAACUUCAGGUAACUGGGGCUAAUACCGGAUAGGAGUUCCUGCUGCAUGGUGGGGGUUGGAAAGUUUCGGCGGUCGGGGAUGGACUCGCGGCUUAUCAGCUUGUUGGUGGGGUAGUGGCUUACCAAGGCUUUGCCGGGUAGCCGGCCUGAGAGGGUGACCGGCCACAUUGGGACUGAGAUACGGCCCAGACUCCUACGGGGGGCAGCAGUGGGGAAUAUUGCGCAGUGGGCGGAAGCGUGAGGCAGCAACGCCGCGUGCGGGAUGACGGCCUUCGGGGUGUAAACCGAUUUCGCCUGUGACGAAGCGUGAGUGACGGUAAUGGGUAAAGAAGCACCGGCUAACUACGUG